UACGAGGGGUGCAAGCGUUGCUCGGAAUUAUUGGGCGUAAAGGGUUGGUAGGUGGUCUUGUUUGUCUAGGGUGAAAUCCCAUGGCUUAACUGUGGAAGUGCCCUAGAAACGGCAAGACUAGAGUCCUAGAGGGGUUUGUGGAAUUUCCGGUGUAGCGGUGAAAUGCGUAGAUAUCGGAAGGAACAUCAGUGGCGAAAGCGACUUCCUGGACCAAUACUGACGCUCAUGUGCGAAAGCGUGGGGAGCAAACAGG
rnacentral:rRNA from 1 species